rnacentral:lncRNA from 1 species
AGGGUUCCCCUACUGGACUCGGCCCCAGCAGAUGGACAAAAAGCUGCUGGCCACGCCAGCUGUUGAACCCAUUCACUUUUGCUGUGUGGCCACCAGCAAUCCAACACUCUCCAUUUCCUGGCUGGAGAACCACAAGGAAGUCCAUGAAGUGCAUCACAUCAGGGCAUCAAGGUCAGCCUGGUGGUGGAGACAUGACCUUUGGACCUGGGCGAGUGUGAGUGUGGUCCUCACUGGCCCAUCCUACAUACAUGGCUGCUGCUCAACCAGAUGGUGGUGCUGGGCAGUGAGGUGGAGCUCCACUGUGCGGUGUGA